rnacentral:pre_miRNA from 1 species
ACGAGUGUGUUAUUGUCGUCCGGGCCACGAUGGUUAAUGAUCGUUUAGGAUGUUCAGAACCACCGUGGCCCUGAUGAGAAGAAUACCCUCUUGU